GGGCGAUAACAAAAGAGCCCACCAAGUCAUGGGUACUGAAACUCCAACACAUUCAAAGAAAUUUUAAUAACACCACUACAUACACACUUACACAACAAAGGGUAAAAUGUGCAUAAACAUUUAACUCAACUCUUCUCUCAUACAUCACCCUGAAUGAUAGAAAGAAACAACCAAAGUUCUCGUGUUUGAACAAGUUUUGUUUUGAGCUAUAUCAUGGCUGCUUGUGAAGUAUUAUUUUGCGUGUUUUAUUUAAUUCAGUGAUCUGCAGCCUAAUUAAAGUUUAAAUUUUUGAAGCACGCAUAUUUAAAUAAGUAAAACGUAAAAUAAAGGUUUUCUAAAGCCAAAAUAUGGAAUUGAUGAGGGUGAUACAGAAAUAGUUCAUUGCACUGUCAAUUCGAAGCACGCAAUAGAAGCUACGCCAACAAUGGUCAACAUCAAUGGCGAAACCAUUGAAUACAUAUUUCAAACCUCAUAUGGCGCGUUAAAGGUACGCAAACUUAUUGGUGUCACUUAUUGUAGCAGCGUAGAACUUUCGAAGCGAUGGAAUAUGUGCUGCAAGCAAAUCCAAAACUAUGGACGCAAACGCUGCUACAUGGAACACAAAUCAUUCACACACCAGAUAUUACGUUUAAUGUCACUUUUUUGCGUGCAAUUAAACCUUUUGGUCAACACAAGCACGAGAAUUGGAACGACAUGGCGUGUUUCAACUGGGUUUUGCCAAUGAGCUAGAGGGCAAAGCAGUUUCAGUAUCUUUGAGCUUACCGGCACUUGGCACAUAUGCACUGUUUAAAGCAAUUAUUUGAUCGUCUCCAGGGCACUUUAAUCAUGGGCAAUAAAGUGCUGAACACAAAGACGACGACACGACCCGACGUAGCGACUGCUGAUCACAAAUGUCGCUUUGAAGCCAGCGUCUUGAACAUUUUGAAGACGGCAGCGACAUAUCAAACUGCAAUUUCAUUGUUGCCGUACUAAAACCUUUCAUUUCAAUAAAAUUUACAUAUUUAGUUUAAAGUGAAAUUAUUUGCGCAAGAGAUGUAAAAAUUGUCGAUUUAUUUGUUUUAAAUAAUCGAUUGUUAUUAUAAAUGAUAUAUCAAAGUUAUUUUACGUUUCUGCUGGCAAAAUAACGUCAUACUUGUUAGAACUUUGAAUAAUUUUACAU